GGGUGUGAUUAUACCAACACUAAUGCACCGGAUCCCAUCAGAACUCUGCAGUUAAGCGUGCUUGGGCGAAAGUAGUACUAAGAUGGGUGACCUCCCGGGGAAGUUCUCGUGUUGCACCCG
rfam:Eutrema salsugineum unplaced genomic scaffold scaffold_4, whole genome shotgun sequence.